GCACCUAUAGGUCAAUGAUAGACUACCUGAUUCUUACUCAGGAGAUGUGAGUUUAAAUCUCUCUAGGUGUACCA
rnacentral:tRNA from 1 species